rnacentral:rRNA from 1 species
AGAUUUGAUCAGUGGCUCAGGACGAACGCUGGCGGCGUGCUUAACACAUGCAAGUCGAGCGGAAAGGCUCCUUCGGGGGUACUCGAGCGGCGAACGGGUGAGUAACACGUGAGUAAUCUGCCCUUGGCUUUGGGAUAACUACCGGAAACGGUGGCUAAUACCGGAUACGACCACUCCUUGCAGGAGGUGGUGGUGGAAAGUUUUUUCGGCCAGGGAUGUGCUCGCGGCCUAUCAGCUUGUUGGUGGGGUAAUGGCCUACCAAGGCUUCGACGGUAGCCGGCCUGAGAGGGUGACCGGCCACACUGGGACUGAGACACGGCCCAGACUCCUACGGGAGGCAGCAGUGGGGAAUAUUGGACAAUGGGCGGAAGCCUGAUCCAGCAACGCCGCGUGAGGGAUGACGGCCUUCGGGUUGUAAACCUCUUUCAGUACCGACGAAGCGCCGAUGAUGGUGGUGACGGUAGGUACAGAAGAAGCACCGGCCAACUACGUG